rnacentral:rRNA from 1 species
GGGAAGUAAAAAAUCGUAACAAGGUUUCCGUAGGUGAACCUGCGGAAGGAUCAUUACCGAGUGCGGGCCCCUCGGGGCCCAACCUCCCACCCGUGUUGCCCGAACCUAUGUUGCCUCGGCGGGCCCCGCGCCCGCCGACGGCCCCCCUGAACGCUGUCUGAAGUUGCAGUCUGAGACCUAUAACGAAAUUAGUUAAAACUUUCAACAACGGAUCUCUUGGUUCCGGCAUCGAUGAAGAACGCAGCGAAAUGCGAUAACUAAUGUGAAUUGCAGAAUUCAGUGAAUCAUCGAGUCUUUGAACGCACAUUGCGCCCUCUGGUAUUCCGGAGGGCAUGCCUGUCCGAGCGUCAUUGCUGCCCUCAAGCCCGGCUUGUGUGUUGGGCCCCGUCCCCCCCGCCGGGGGGACGGGCCCGAAAGGCAGCGGCGGCACCGCGUCCGGUCCUCGAGCGUAUGGGGCUUCGUCACCCGCUCUAGUAGGCCCGGCCGGCGCCAGCCGACCCCCAACCUUUAAUUAUCUCAGGUGACCUCGGAUCAAGAAGGUCCCGAAUCCCAA